ACGAACGCUGGCGGCGUGCUUAACACAUGCAAGUCGAACGGAAAGGCCCUGCUUUUGUGGGGUGCUCGAGUGGCGAACGGGUGAGUAACACGUGAGUAACCUGCCCUUGACUUUGGGAUAACUUCAGGAAACUGGGGCUAAUACCGGAUAGGAGCUCCUGCUGCAUGGUGGGGGUUGGAAAGUUUCGGCGGUUGGGGAUGGACUCGCGGCUUAUCAGCUUGUUGGUGGGGUAGUGGCUUACCAAGGCUUUGACGGGUAGCCGGCCUGAGAGGGUGACCGGCCACAUUGGGACUGAGAUACGGCCCAGACUCCUACGGGAGGCAGCAGUGGGGAAUAUUGCACAAUGGGCGGAAGCCUGAUGCAGCAACGUCGCGUGCGGGAUGACGGCCUUCGGGUUGUAAACCGCUUCCGCCUGUGACGAAGCGUGAGUGACGGUAAUGGGUAAAGAAGCACCGGCUAACUACGUG
rnacentral:rRNA from 1 species